rnacentral:rRNA from 1 species
GACGAACGCUGGCGGCGUGCUUAACACAUGCAAGUCGAACGGAAAGGCCCUGCUUGCCGGGUACUCGAGUGGCGAACGGGUGAGUAACACGUGGGUGAUCUGCCCUGCACUUCGGGAUAAGCCUGGGAAACUGGGUCUAAUACCGGAUAGGAGCCAUUUUUAGUGUGAUGGUUGGAAAGUUUUUUCGGUGUAGGAUGAGCUCGCGGCCUAUCAGCUUGUUGGUGGGGUAAUGGCCUACCAAGGCGGCGACGGGUAGCCGGCCUGAGAGGGUGGACGGCCACAUUGGGACUGAGAUACGGCCCAGACUCCUACGGGAGGCAGAAGUGGGGAAUAUUGCACAAUGGGCGCAAGCCGGAUGCAGCGACGCCGCGUGGGGGAUGACGGCCUUAGGGUUGUAAACUCCUUUCGCUAGGGACGAAGCUUUUUGUGACGGUACCUAGAUAAGAAGCACCGGCUAACUACGUG